UGUUUACUUUGACUAGGAAAAAAGCACAAAUAAUUGAUGAUUCCAAAUAGUAAUAAGUGAAAGGAACUAUUUUAUGUUUGCUAUUAUUAUGACUUAAAUUAUGUUUCUCAUUUGAAUAAAUGCACAAGAGAGUCAAAUUAUAAUUAUAAAAAGGGGCUGGCUAGACUUUUGUGAACUGGAGGUUGGACAUAAAUAUGGCAUCAAGACCUUUACAUAUGUAUUUGAUGUCUAAAACAACCUGAUAAAGUACAUAUAAUCCCCAUUCUAAGGAAAACAGAUUAGUAACUUGCCCAAGGUACAAACCUAAUAAAAUAGGUAGAACUGAAAUGUGAACACAGGUCUAUUUAGGUCCAAAGCCUGGGUACCUUUACAACUUUACCAUCUAAAGUAAGCAUAGUAUAUACAUUGCAGGAUGUACAAUAGUUACCAGUAAAAGAAAAAUAAAACAAUAAUGAACAUUUGAAUGCUGUUUUUCACAGAAAUCUCAGAUUUGAUUAAUUUAAUCUCUCUCAGGAGAUUAAUACUAGUACAAGGAGGAAAUGCUUUCCAAUAUUUUUGCAUUUUAUGCGAAAUUACAUUUUGAAACAUGUUCUUUAUCUUCUCUACUCUUACUUUUUAGCCUCUUCUACACAGCCAUCAUCUGUGAAUUAUAAUUCUUCAGAAGACCCAAGUAUUCAUUAACAAUGUAAAGAAGCAGUUAUAUAAGGGGAUUCCCUUCCCCAAGACUUUUUCAGUGAAGUCUUCAAAGUCAAAAUUACUUCAUUAUUAUACUAGGACACUGUUUUGCUUUUCCCCCUUGCUCUUCUUUCCUUAUGUGUAGAAGGCAGUUUUCACGGAGCUACAUGAUGUGUGGGGACAUCACUGCUGAUAGUUAACUGAAAAUAUGCUUAGAUGUUUAAAACUUCUGCCAUAAUUUCUAACUAGCUAAAGUAACAACGAAUAUAAUCCACAUAAACAAAAGCUGAGAAUUUUUAAAUGACACUUUCUGACCUAGUGAAUCCACACUGUACUGUUAAAUUUCUGUCUAGGUUCUACAACAGAAAUCACAAACUGUUUAGUAACUUUUUUCUUUAAAUUACAUAAAGCGCAAAAAAAAAAAAAAAGCUUUCUUUUUACAAAGAAAAACAGUUCACAUCACUGUAUCAUGAAACAGAACUUCAAAACUAUUCACAGCCAAAAGCACAAAUGUCCAAAUCCAGCAAAUAUCACUCAUCUACCCUGGUAUCUUUUCUUAGUUUUUAGUACUAGAAGGCCCAACCAAAACACAACAUUUCUGACAUAUCAAAUGAUGGCACUAUGCUAUGCAGACAUACAGUAGAGCAGAUUACAAAAAUGAGAAGAAUACUACCGCCUGCCCUCAUGGAGCUUACAGUCUAAAUUCUCAAAUUAAUUAGAAGAUCAGCGUACCAGUGAAUCUUCACAUAUCACAGAGUAAUAACUACUAAAUACACAAGGCUUAUGUUAAAAAUUUUUAUGACAAACAUUAACAAGUAUUGCUGAUUACAAAUCUAUUUUAAAGCUGUAAAGAACAUCAAUAAUAUGACAGAGGUGGAUCACUGUUAUAAAAUAGAAUUCUAAAUGAAACAAUUAUUACCAAUUAGAAAUAAAACUAGCUCUAAAGGAUGAUCAUAAUAAAAAAUACUAAUGAUUUUUUAAGUAUUUUUGCAUUCUCUAUGGAGUAUUCUCAAGAGAGUACAAAGGACUUUUUUGUUCCUUCAAUUUUUAAAGUAGUAAAUAGAAAACCUUGAAAUGACGAUACAUCCUCUAAAAUUCCUCAAGAAAGAUAUUACAAAAUUUUAUACUGAAACAGCUACAAAGCCCUAUUCAAAAUGCUCUCUUGUUACUGGCAAAUCUUUGGAGUCAGAAAAUCUACUCUGGGUUAUGCGCAGCUGCUCCAAAAAGUCUUAAAUCAUGAUUUAAAAAAUCUGUAUGUACUUUCCGGCGGUGACGACUUCCUCACAAUAACAUGCCUCUAGCAGAGGAUCUUCCUCAUCCCUCUCCAGAAGAGAAGAGGAAACACAAGAAAAAGCGCCUGGUGAGAGCCCCAAUUCCUAUUUCAUGGAUGUAAAAUGCCCAGCAUGCUAUAAAAUCACCACCGUCUUUAGCCACGCACAAACAGUAGUUUUGUGUGUUGGCUGCCCUACUGUCCUCUGCCAGCCUACAGGGGGAAAAGCAAGGCUUACAGAAGGAUGCUCUUACAGAAGGAUGCUCCAUCUUACAGACGGAAGCAGCACUAAGAUCUCCCUGUAUCAAGAUGAAUGGGGGCUGAUUCAUGUCAAUGUAUGGCAAAAACCACUACAACAUUGUAAAGUAAUUAGCCUCCAACUAAUAAAAAUAAAUGGGGGGAAAAAAAAGAUGAAUGGGAAUCCAUCCCAAUAAACAAAUUUCAGAUAUUAAAAAAAAAAAAACAAUUAAUUAUAGAGUGAAGUACUGUUACGGGGCUUCCCUGGCAGCUCAAUG